rnacentral:misc_RNA from 1 species
AACGCACGAGACCUGCGGACCUGCGGAGGGAUCAUUAUAGAAUUACCAAUAACAGAAAAGAUUGGGGAUGGUAGUUUGGGGGGGAGAAAGACUUUUUUCCCUUCCCUUCUGUCGCUCUGAUCUUUUCUGAACAAACAAACAAACAUGACUAGGAAAUCAUCUGGCAUCUGGAAAUUUUGACAACAAGAGAAGUUCUUGGCUGAUAAGUAGCAUUGAUUUCAAAUCAAAUGUGAAUUUCCA